rnacentral:tRNA from 1 species
GCCUUCGUAGUGCAGUGGUCAGCACGCUCGACGCGUAUUCGAGAGGUCCAUGGUUCGAGCCCAGGGGAGGGCA